AUGCGCGCGCCUCUGGCUCGCUGGGGUGAGCUGCAUAGAGGUCCUUGUGAGUGGCGCGAGACCGGAAGUCUUUACUUAACAUCACAAAGAGAAGCAUCAAACAGCAGUCAUACCCUAUUAUCCUGAUAGCUGGCACGGAGCUGAAGGUAGCUGAUACAGAGCCUGAAAUAGUGCUUCAGUCAACAUGUAUCAUGCAGAUGGAGGCCGAUGGAUGCAAUGGUCCAGCCACCGCAGGGGAUCUUCCAGGUCCCAACGGAGAGGGGAAUGAUGGGGCUUCCCUGGUGGAGCAGUGGUUGAGAAUCUGCCUGC